rnacentral:rRNA from 1 species
UGCAAGUCGAACGAAGCGAUUUAACGGAAGUUUUCGGAUGGAAGUUGAAUUGACUGAGUGGCGGACGGGUGAGUAACGCGUGGGUAACCUGCCUUGUACUGGGGGACAACAGUUAGAAAUGACUGCUAAUACCGCAUAAGCGCACAGUAUCGCAUGAUACAGUGUGAAAAACUCCGGUGGUACAAGAUGGACCCGCGUCUGAUUAGCUAGUUGGUAAGGUAACGGCUUACCAAGGCGACGAUCAGUAGCCGACCUGAGAGGGUGACCGGCCACAUUGGGACUGAGACACGGCCCAAACUCCUACGGGAGGCAGCAGUGGGGAAUAUUGCACAAUGGGCGAAAGCCUGAUGCAGCGACGCCGCGUGAGUGAAGAAGUAUUUCGGUAUGUAAAGCUCUAUCAGCAGGGAAGAAAAUGACGGUACCUGACUAAGAAGCCCCGGCUAACUACGUGCCAGCAGCCGCGGUAAUACGUAGGGGGCAAGCGUUAUCCGGAUUUACUGGGUGUAGAGGGAGCGUAGACGGUAAAGCAAGUCUGAAGUGAAAGCCCGCGGCUCAACUGCGGGACUGCUUUGGAAACUGUUUAACUGGAGUGUCGGAGAGGUAAGUGGAAUUCCUAGUGUAGCGGUGAAAUGCGUAGAUAUUAGGAGGAACACCAGUGGCGAAGGCGACUUACUGGACGAUAACUG